rnacentral:rRNA from 1 species
UGGCGGCAGGCCUAACACAUGCAAGUCGAGCGGUUAACAUUUUCUAGCUUGCUAGAAGAUGACGAGCGGCGGACGGGUGAGUAACGCGUAGAAAUCUACCUAGUAGUGGGGGAUAGCCCAGAGAAAUUUGGAUUAAUACCGCAUACGCCCUACGGGGGAAAGCGGGGGAUCUUCGGACCUCGUGCUAUUAGAUGAGUCUGCGUCGGAUUAGCUUGUUGGUGAGGUAAUGGCUCACCAAGGCGACGAUCCGUAGCUGGUCUGAGAGGAUGACCAGCCACACUGGAACUGAGACACGGUCCAGACUCCUACGGGAGGCAGCAGUGGGGAAUAUUGCACAAUGGGCGCAAGCCUGAUGCAGCCAUGCCGCGUGUGUGAAGAAGGCCUUAGGGUUGUAAAGCACUUUCAGCAGUGAGGAAAGGGGUGUCGUUAAUAGCGCCAUCCUGUGACGUUAACUGCAGAAGAAGGACCGGCUAACUCCGUG